rnacentral:rRNA from 1 species
AAUGAACGCUGGCGGCAGGCUUAACACAUGCAAGUCGAACGGGUGUAGCAAUACAUCAGUGGCAGACGGGUGAGUAACACGUGGGAACCUUCCUAGGGGUACGGAACAACUCAGGGAAACUUGAGCUAAUACCGUAUACGUCCGUGAGGAGAAAGAUUUAUCGCCCUUAGACGGGCCCGCGUCGGAUUAGGUAGUUGGUGGGGUAACGGCCUACCAAGCCUACGAUCCGUAGCUGAUCUGAGAGGAUGAUCAGCCACACUGGGACUGAGACACGGCCCAGACUCCUACGGGAGGCAGCAGUGGGGAAUCUUGGACAAUGGGCGCAAGCCUGAUCCAGCCAUGCCGCGUGAGUGAAGAAGGUCUUCGGAUUGUAAAGCUCUUUUGCCAGGGACGAUAAUGACGGUACCUGGAGAAUAAGCCCCGGCAAACUUCGUGCCAGCAGCCGCGGUAACAC